rnacentral:lncRNA from 1 species
UACAGAAAGAGAAAUAUGAAAAAGAAAGUGAUAGCUUUUAACACCUAGAUUUUUACUUUAUAGAAAGAAAGAAUGGAGAUAAGAGAGUAAUGUGACUAAAUUUAGUAGUUCUUACAAGAAGAGUAGUCAUAGUGCUACCUGGUUUUGAGAGAAGAAAAAAAAUGGAGAUUAUGUCUUGCUGUCUGUUGCUAAAACUUUUUUCUCUCAGAAAAUAUAAAUACCCAGAUUGAGAGAGGAGGCGUCAAAAAAUUGGAAUGAUUGUCAGAUGCUUCUUUUAUCUCGGAUAAGUAGCAAAGGUUUCGUUCCAUUUUAAUAUUAUUGAAGUAAAUGAAAGUAAUAUUAGUAUAAAUAAAUAUAAAAAUUGAGUGGGACAGUGCUUGGAUAGACAUAUGAGAAUAGACUAGUACUAUUAUCAGUAUGUCACAGGUAGGUGUGGCCACCGCUGGAUUUAGCUUUUGAAAUCCAAGGCCCCCCGAAUCGCCUCAUAUUGACUCGAUUUCCUUUGUUUUUCACCCGUUACCCGUCUAAAUCCGACCUGAUCACCUGAACAGCAACCGGUUUGGACAGGUUUCUGUCGGGUCACGGGUUGUUGCUUGGCCCUUCAAUUUGGUAUACACUAUGCUGUCUCUACCUUCUUACUUUGAAUUAUGGUGCAUUGUUUCAAGUUUUAGUAUUAUUUGGAUUUCAAGUGUUAGAUAUAUCAGUAAUUCACAUUCUGUUCCUGCUUUCCUCAUGUAUAUACUUCUAUUGGUAUACACUAUGCUGUCUCUACCUUCUUACUUUGAAUUAUGGUGCAUUGUUUCAAGUUUUAGUAUUAUUUGGAUUUCAAGUGUUAGAUAUAUCAGUAAUUCACAUUCUGUUCCUGCUUUCCUCAUGUAUAUACUUCUAUUGGCAUAUGAUUCUGAUCAAGUUUUAUUCUCCUGACUUUAUUGCAGGGCCCUGGUGGUAGAC